UUUGAAAAUGAAACGUGACUUCCUCUUUUGUUUUGUUUUGUUUUCAGGUCAAGAAAUGAGAAGGAUGCCAAGCUGAGCACAGUCCCUGGAGGCUUCUGCAGGAUCACAUGUCUCUGCAGAAAUGCCAUUUUAACUGAGAUAUUAUUCCCAGAAAGGAAGAAGAUAAACAUGUUAACUCCUGGGUAUAAAUGAAUCUUCAGUUCUGCUUCCCUUCUUCAUCAGAAUAGGAUACAUCUUGAGGGGCUUGGAUGAACUCAAAAUUACAUGCCAAAUUAAAUGCAUCUAAUUUUAAUGGUGCUCAGUUAUUGGAAUCUGUGGAGGAAAGAUGCAGAAAAACACAGAAAAACUCCAAGAACCGGGGAGAGGAUCAGUCUUAAGU
rnacentral:lncRNA from 10 species